UCUCUGGCCGGCCUGGAGCCUCCCAGCAUCCCGCUCUGUGAUUCCAACCCCGUCACCCUGAUUCUGGUAAAUUCUGGUAAUGAACGUGGCCGACUCUUGUUCCUCUUGCUGGCACGGUCCCCAAUGCUCAGGGCACGUAACGGCCGGCUCUGGGGCCCCCUGGCCAAGUCACCUUUGGGAAGACUCCUACCCUCUGGGAGCCACUGUGCUCUCAUCUGCGAAAUGGGAACACGGGAACAUCGCCCUCAUGGGGUUGUUGUCUUAAAAAAGCCAGGUAGAUGUUUCUCCAUCCUGUCUGGCAACAGGAGGCACGAAGAGGCAGCACCUCCCGGCAGCCGAGCCAGACGUGGGGACGGCCCUGAGCCAUGUGAGGGAGCGUUGCAACGCAGCGGGGCUGUCCAGGAUGGACCAGCUGCGGUCCCAGCCCCGUCAAUGUGUACGUGCCCUCUGCGCAGGAGGCAGGGGUUGUAGCCCUCCUUGUUCAGGGGAGAAACUGAAGGCAGCUGAGUUUGCCGGGUCACCCGUCUCCAGCCCCGACUCUGCCACUGUCUGACUCAGAACCCAAGACUCGGCAUAUUCUUAUUCAAAACCAGCAGAAGCGUCGCCCAACACAGGCCCGGAAGGCGAGGAAGGCACCACGAAUGAGCCCAGAAGGACCCAGACGGUAUUUCCAGCCAGGCCCCCUCCUGAGUGACUGCUGCGGUGGAAACCGAUUUCCCUGGAAAACACGCGUCCCUGACGACUCCAAUCACAAAGAAGUCCGUGCUCCAGCCGUGAGGAGCCAGCAGACGGUGCUGCAAGGGGAGUCCAAACGGAUCAGCUCAAAGCUGGGUCCCCACGGGGGCUCUGCGACGUCCGGAUGUCAGCGCAGAGAGAGGAAGUGAGGGAUCUGACCCAGCUCCCCAGCCAUCCUUGACCAGGAGGGAGUGGUACGGGGUGGUGGCUGUGUCCCUGACCAGGAAAGUGGUGGGGACGCCACUGACUAGGAAGGGGACCAGAGGUGGUGGGCCUCCCUGACCGG
rnacentral:lncRNA from 1 species